rnacentral:rRNA from 1 species
CCUACGGGUGGCUGCAGUGAGGAAUAUUGGUCAAUGGACGCGAGUCUGAACCAGCCAUGUAGCGUGCAGGAAGACGGCCCUACGGGUUGUAAACUUCUUUUAUAAAGGAAUAAAUUGCGACACGUGUGUCUGUUUGAAUGUAUCUUACGAAUAAGGAUCGGCUAACUCCGUGCCAGCAGCCGCGGUAAUACGGAGGAUCCAAGCGUUAUCCGGAUUUAUUGGGUUUAAAGGGUGCGUAGGUGGGUUGAUAAGUUAGUGGUGAAAGUUUGGGGCUCAACCCCGGAAUUGCCAUUGAUACUGUCGGCCUAGAGUUCAGUUGAGGUAGGCGGAAUGUGUGGUGUAGCGGUGAAAUGCUUAGAUAUCACGCAGAACUCCGAUUGCGAAGGCAGCCUACCAAACUACCACUGACAUUGAGGCUCGAAAGUGUGGGGAUCAAACAGGAUUAGAUACCCCAGUAGUC